CUGUGAACUGCGAAUGGCUCAUUAAAUCAGUUAUCGUUUAUUUGAUAGUACCUUACUACAUGGAUACCUGUGGUAAUUCUAGAGCUAAUACAUGCUACAAACCCCGACUUCAGGAAGGGGUGUAUUUAUUAGAUAAAAAACCAACGCCCUUCGGGGCUCCUUGGUGAAUCAUAAUAACUUAACGAAUCGCAUGGCCUUGCGCCGGCGAUGGUUCAUUCAAAUUUCUGCCCUAUCAACUUUCGAUGGUAGGAUAGUGGCCUACCAUGGUGGCAACGGGUAACGGGGAAUUAGGGUUCGAUUCCGGAGAGGGAGCCUGAGAAACGGCUACCACAUCCAAGGAAGGCAGCAGGCGCGCAAAUUACCCAAUCCCGAUACGGGGAGGUAGUGACAAUAAAUACUGAUACGGGGCUCUUUCGGGUCUCGUAAUUGGAAUGAGAACAAUUUAAAUCCCUUAACGAGGAACAAUUGGAGGGCAAGUCUGGUGCCAGCAGCCGCGGUAAUUCCAGCUCCAAUAGCGUAUAUUAAAGUUGUUGCAGUUAAAAAGCUCGUAGUUGAACCUUGGGCCUGGCUGGCCGGUCCGCCUCACCGCGAGUACUGGUCCGGCUGGGCCUUUCCUUCUGGGGAACCUCAUGGCCUUCACUGGCUGUGGGGGGAACCAGGACUUUUACUGUGAAAAAAUUAGAGUGUUCAAAGCAGGCCUUUGCUCGAAUACAUUAGCAUGGAAUAAUAGAAUAGGACGUGCGGUUCUAUUUUGUUGGUUUCUAGGACCGCCGUAAUGAUUAAUAGGGAUAGUCGGGGGCGUCAGUAUUCAGCUGUCAGAGGUGAAAUUCUUGGAUUUGCUGAAGACUAACUACUGCGAAAGCAUUCGCCAAGGAUGUUUUCAUUAAUCAGGGAACGAAAGUUAGGGGAUCGAAGACGAUCAGAUACCGUCGUAGUCUUAACCAUAAACUAUGCCGACUAGGGAUCGGACGGGAUUCUAUGAUGACCCGUUCGGCACCUUACGAGAAAUCAAA
rnacentral:rRNA from 1 species